rnacentral:rRNA from 1 species
UACGUAGGGGGCGAGCGUUGUCCGGAUUUAUUGGGCGUAAAGAGCUCGUAGGCGGUUUGGAAAGUCGGGUGUGAAACCUCCAGGCUCAACCUGGAGACGCCACCUGAUACUGCUGUGGCUAGAGUCCGGUAGGGGAACACGGAAUUCCCGGUGUAGCGGUGAAAUGCUUAGAUAUCGGGAGGAACACCAGUGGCGAAGGCGGUGUUCUGGGCCGGAACUGACGCUGAGGAGCGAAAGCGUGGGUAGCAAACAGG